GAAGUAAAAAUCGUAACAAGGUUUCCGUAGGUGAACCUGCGGAAGGAUCAUUACCUAGAGUUGCGGGCUUUGCCUGCCAUCUCUUACCCAUGUCUUUUGAGUACCUUCGUUUCCUCGGCGGGUCCGCCCGCCGACUGGACAACACUUAAACCCUUUGUAAUUGAAAUCAGCGUCUGAAAAAACUUAAUAGUUACAACUUUCAACAACGGAUCUCUUGGUUCUGGCAUCGAUGAAGAACGCAGCGAAAUGCGAUAAGUAGUGUGAAUUGCAGAAUUCAGUGAAUCAUCGAAUCUUUGAACGCACAUUGCGCCCCUUGGUAUUCCAUGGGGCAUGCCUGUUCGAGCGUCAUUUGUACCUUCAAGCCUUGCUUGGUGUUGGGUGUUUGUCUCGCCUCUGCGCGCAGACUCGCCUCAAAACAAUUGGCAGCCGGCGUAUUGAUUUCGGAGCGCAGUACAUCUCGCGCUUUGCACUCACAACGACGACGUCCAAAAAGUACAUUUUUUACACUCUUGACCUCGGAUCAGGUAGGGAUACCCGCUGAACUUAAGCAUAUCAAAGGCGGGGAG
rnacentral:rRNA from 1 species